AUGAGACUUUGGGUCUAUGUAGUUCUCAUUGUGGCAGCUCUGCAAGGUGCCCGGUCCCAGAUCAACCUGGUGGAGUCCGGAGGGGGUGUGAAAAAGCCUGGAGACUCUCUCCGCCUCUCCUGCAAAGCCUCCGGGUUCACCUUCAGCGACUACGGGAUGAACUGGGUCCACCGGGCUUCAGGGAAGGGACUAGAAUGGGUCGCUUAUAUAAGCAGGAGUGGGAGUGAUAUAUACUACCUUGGUUCAUUGAAAGGCCGGUUCACCAUCUCCCGGGAUAAUUCCAAGAGUGAGCUGUAUCUGCAAAUGACCGGCCUGAAACCCGAGGACACCGCCCGCUAUUACUGUGCGAGACACAGUGACACAGAAACCUAUUGA